GAGCUCAGUUGAUAGAGCAUGAGACUCUUAAUCUUAGGUUCAUGGGUUCGAGCCCCACGCU
rnacentral:tRNA from 1 species